rnacentral:rRNA from 1 species
UACGUAGGGGGCAAGCGUUGUCCGGAAUUAUUGGGCGUAAAGCGCGUGUAGGCGGCUCAGCAAGUCCGCUCUGAAAGCCCAGGGCUCAACCCUGGGAUGCGGGUGGAUACUGCUGAGCUCGAGUCCGGAAGAGGCGAGUGGAAUUCCUGGUGUAGCGGUGAAAUGCGCAGAUAUCAGGAGGAACACCAAUGGCGAAGGCAGCUCGCUGGGACGUGACUGACGCUGAGACGCGAAAGCGUGGGGAGCGAACAGG